rnacentral:lncRNA from 1 species
UAUAACUUGACAUGUCAGCUGAAGUAUUUCCAAAGUUGCUCAUAUGUUUUUCUUUCCUCUUAGACACAUUAAAGACGCUUCAAGAGCUGCUCGAUCCAGGAAUGGAGAGAUUUUGUGAAGACAUGGAUGCUCCCUAAAAUGAGUGCAGAAGUUUCCAUCAUAGGAGUUCCCCUGCUGUGCUGCUGGGUCCUCAGAAGUGUUGUAGAGAUCGCCUCUUUGAAAGUGGCUAUGCAGUUUGCUCCUGGCACGGGCAUCUUGAAUCUCCUCCUCAGACAGAUUGAGACCAUGCUUGAUUUCCUGUACUUUUAGUAAGAAGAAGGAAAACACAGCACACGUGAGCCAACAGGUAAGAGAGAAACACACUUCUCAGUUAUGCAGCCCCGCAUCAAGGAAAAAUAACAGCAACUCUACAAAGUCAGAAAUCAGCAUCUACGGACUAAUGAGCAGAGAGAAAGGUCUAAGUUUUUUUCUUUAUUAAUGUUUACCUGCUAUAGUAUGCAAAAUAUCCUUGCCAUAAAAGCCUUAUU